rnacentral:ncRNA from 103 species
UUGACCUCGGAUCAGGUA